UUCAUACAAUGUUGGAUUGCAAAAGGCUAUAUUUUAUACAAGAUUUGAUGUAGCAAAUCUGUCUUAUUACUGAGUAAAGUGUUCUGUUAUUUGUACUUAUGAGAGGUUUGCUUGGGGCUGAACUCCAUGGGUUAGAGGAGACUGACUGCAUCCCUUAGGAUGCAGAGCAGGUUAUUCACAAAUUCACUCUGCUUAGUCUCAAUUUCCCAUCACAUUUGCAUUAAAAGAGAGCAUGCGGUAGCAAGUUCUGUAGGAUAUAGUGAUGCCAUCUUGCAACAUUCAAUCCAUGAUGCCAGCCGCGUCUGCCCCACCAUUGAGAAGCGACUUUCAGUUGUACAGCUUGGGCAAGAGUAUGAUUUACUCCUGAAGCACAAACUUCAGUUUGAUACAGUGAUGUGAAAUCUGUAAGGAUUCCACCCUUGCGUUUUUGAAGAGACCAGAACAAUAAACAAGUUCCCAAAACAGAAGCUUCGGGAUGUCUGAAUGUUUGAAUUGACAAAGCGUGCAUUGUUCAUGAGUGCAAUCCUUCCAUUCCUGGGCUGGAAUACCAAUGUGGCCAGAGGACAAAGUCAAGCAGCUCAAUGGCAAAUGAAGGGCAGGGAGGCAAGAGGCUGAGCCUGCACUGGUGCACACUGACCUCCGGUGGAACACACUGCACUCUGAAUAGCAAUCCAUGCACAGGCUGGAAAGGGAGCAAGUCAGAGCCAGAAUUCCUUGAGAAUGCUUACUUUAAGGAAGUGUAUGGGAGCAAAGAGUAUUUGCAAUGUAACCAAAAAUGCAAGAACACGACUCUGCUUCUCAAUUUUACUAUUUUUUGCCUUAAACAGAUUUUUCUACUUUUCUUCCUGCAGAAGUCUUCCGAGACAUUCAAGACGAUUAUACAUUAUAACAAGAGAUUGAUUACAGCAUACCUAUAGCUUAGCAUGGUCCUUGCAACACCGUUUGGAAAAGACUCCUCAUAGAACGGUAAAGAUUCACUGUCAUCUGCACACUAGAAGCCUGUUCGAGAAGAAUAAGCAGUCUCAAACAUCAGACACAAGUAACUGAAAUGCCAGAAGUUACCAUCUGCCCACCUGGGAGUUAUCAUUUCUCAGGCCCCCACCUUAGGAUGGAAAAACAACCCUGGAAGCACUGCCUGCAGAGAGCCUCGUCACCACCACAAGAACUCAACAGAACUUGCAGAGUUCACGUCAAAAAGAAAGUAACAAUGCUUGGCAAAGUACUUUUUUUGACCAGCUGAUUCCAGAAUUGCAACACUUGGAUCCUCAGGGGACCCCAGUAGAGUAAGUAUCCAUUCUGAAUGACUCAGUAAGGCAUUCUGUUGGCAAAUUUAAAGAAAAUGAGAAAAUGUUCUCCUGGAUUAGAGCCCAUUACAUUCAUUGUCUGAGUGUGACUAGUGGCACUACUAACUGUUAACAAACUGGAGGGACAAAAAAGCUACAAGAUGUCUGAAGACUUGAAAGGCACCAAAAAGAGAACAGCUCUGCAACUGCCAGUUCUACAAACAACUAUGUAAGCUGUGUUUAACACUGCAUAUAGUCUAUUCAAUCAUCAAUCUUUGUUGACAAAGAUAAAGUGUAAUAGCUCCUCAUUUAAACUCUCAGUUAAUCAAGUGCUAGUUUAGUAAGAAAUUUAUUUUCACGUAUCAGAAAAUACUUGCAGUGUCUAACACAACUACACUUAAAGCAAAACUAGUCUAGUAUGCAUUAUUCUGGUUAACACUGAAGCAAACCUGUAUAAACAAAAGGGUUACCUCAAGAUAUAUAGUUUACAAUAAGAAAUCAACAUAUAAAUGAAUAGGAUUUACUGAAAACAAUGGAAAGUGUAUUACAAAGAUACAUGAAACAAUUUUAACCACAAUAUUUUCUCUGUGAAAAAUACAACUAUUAGUGAGAUAAAAUGUACAAUUGAAUUUUCUUCCCCAAAACAACAAAAACAAAACAAAACCGCAGUAUAAAGGAAAAUAUUUUUUUUCUUCAAAACAGGGAAAAUAGUUAAGGUCAUUGUCUUUCAUUACAAUAUAAUUUGACACAAAAAAGCAGUCAUAGGAUUGCACCAACUCCACGUUCAGUCUCCUGAACAUGACAAUAGUAAAAGGAGUCCAUAAAGCAUAUUGACAUUUCUGGAUUUUAUGAUGGCAAUAUAUGUUCGCAGAAACUGAUGUCACUCCGGCUCUGUUCACAAAAUGUACAAAACUAAAUUUGGUGGCCAGACGUAUGUAAAAACUAGUUCACCCCAACACUGACUUUUCUGUUGCUUAGUCAGAGAUGGAAAACCUGUAGUAUUUUAAGUGUUGUUAUCUUUUUAGCAAUAAAGAAAAGUAUA